UGGGGAAUCUUCCGCAAUGGACGAAAGUCUGACGGAGCAACGCCGCGUGAGUGAAGACGGCCUUCGGGUUGUAAAGCUCUGUGAUCCGGGACGAAAGAGCCUGAGGUGAAUAGCCUAAGGAAGUGACGGUACCGGAAAAGCAAGCCACGGCUAACUACGUGCCAGCAGCCGCGGUAAUACGUAGGUGGCAAGCGUUGUCCGGAAUUAUUGGGCGUAAAGCGCGCGCAGGCGGCUUCCUAAGUCCAUCUUAAAAGUGCGGGGCUUAACCCCGUGAUGGGAUGGAAACUGGGAAGCUGGAGUAUCGGAGAGGAAAGUGGAAUUCCUAGUGUAGCGGUAAAAUGCGUAGAGAUUAGGAAGAACACCGGUGGCGCAGGCGACUUUCUGGACGAAAACUGACGCUGAGGCGCGAAAGCGUGGGGAGCAAACAGG
rnacentral:rRNA from 1 species